AGGGUGCAAGCGUUGUUCGGAAUUACUGGGCGUAAAGCGUACGUAGGCGGCGGGUUAAGUCGAAUGUUAAAGCCUGGGGCUCAACCCCAGAGAUGCACUCGAUACUGGCUUGCUAGAGGGUGAUAGAGGAAAGCGGAAUUCCCAGUGUAGCGGUGAAAUGCGUAGAUAUUGGGAGGAACAUCAGUAGCGAAGGCGGCUUUCUGGGUCACACCUGACGCUGAGGUACGAAAGCGUGGGGAGCAGACGGG
rnacentral:rRNA from 1 species